GACGAACGCUGGCGGCGUGCUUAACACAUGCAAGUCGAACGGAAAGGCCCUGCUUUUGUGGGGUGCUCGAGUGGCGAACGGGUGAGUAACACGUGAGUAACCUGCCCUUGACUUUGGGAUAACUUCAGGAAGCUGGGGCUAAUACCGGAUAGGAGCUCCUGCUGCAUGGUGGGGGUUGGAAAGUUUCGGCGGUUGGGGAUGGACUCGCGGCUUAUCAGCUUGUUGGUGGGGUAGUGGCUUACCAAGGCUUUGACGGGUAGCCGGCCUGAGAGGGUGACCGGCCACAUUGGGACUGAGAUACGGCCCAGACUCCUACGGGAGGCAGCAGUGGGGAAUAUUGCACAAUGGGCGGAAGCCUGAUGCAGCAACGCCGCGUGCGGGAUGGCGGCCUUCGGGUUGUAAACCGCUUUCGCCUGUGACGAAGCGUGAGUGACGGUAAUGGGUAAAGAAGCACCGGCUAACUACGUG
rnacentral:rRNA from 1 species